rnacentral:rRNA from 1 species
AACAGGAUUAGAUACCCUGGUAGUCCACGCCCUAAACGAUGUCUACUAGUUGUUGGUGGAGUAAAAUCCAUGAGUAACGCAGCUAACGCGUGAAGUAGACCGCCUGGGGAGUACGGUCGCAAGAUUAAAACUCAAAUGAAUUGACGGGGGCCCGCACAAGCGGUGGAUUAUGUGGAUUAAUUCGAUGCAACGCGAAAAACCUUACCUGGCCUUGACAUGUACCGAAUUUACCAGAGAUGGUUUAGUGCUCGAAAGAGAACGGUAACACAGGUGCUGCAUGGCUGUCGUCAGCUCGUGUCGUGAGAUGUUGGGUUAAGUCCCGCAACGAGCGCAACCCUUGCCAUUAAUUGCCAUCAUUUAGUUGGGCACUUUAAUGGGACUGCCGGUGACAAACCGGAGGAAGGUGGGGAUGACGUCAAGUCCUCAUGGCCCUUAUGGCCAGGGCUUCACACGUAAUACAAUGGUCGGUACAGAGGGUUGCCAACCCGCGAGGGGGAGCCAAUCCCAGAAAGCCGAUCGUAGUCCGGAUUGUAGUCUGCAACUCGACUACAUGAAGUCGGAAUCGCUAGUAAUCGCGGAUCAGCAUGUCGCGGUGAAUACGUUCCCGGGCCUUGUACACACCGCCCGUCACACCAUGGGAGUGGGUUUUACCAGAAGUAGGUAGUCUAACCGUAAGGAGGACGCUUACCACGGUAGUAUUCAUGACUGGGGUGAAGUCGUAACAAGGUAACC